UACGUAGGGGGCUAGCGUUGUCCGGAAUCAUUGGGCGUAAAGCGCGUGUAGGCGGUCCGGUAAGUCCGCUGUGAAAGUCGGGGGCUCAACCCUCGAAUGCCGGUGGAUACUGUCGGGCUAGAGUCCGGAAGAGGAGUGUGGAAUUCCUGGUGUAGCGGUGAAAUGCGCAGAUAUCAGGAGGAACACCAAUGGCGAAGGCAGCACUCUGGGACGUGACUGACGCUGAGACGCGAAAGCGUGGGGAGCAAACAGG
rnacentral:rRNA from 1 species